rnacentral:lncRNA from 1 species
UUACCUGGUCUAAACCCAUGUGCAUGCCCUCACAAAAUGCCAAACUUCAACGCAUUAUUGAAUCACCAGAUAAGAUGCAAAGGAAAAGACACUUUUUGAAUGGUGGAAAAUUUGAGUUCCUCAAAGAGAACAUAGCAUAUCUUUCUCCAUUUCAUUAUAUUUAUGCAGGCAUGUUGUUGGAACAUGAGAAACCAAAGCUUUAUAAUGUUCUAACGAAUAAAUAGUUCGGUUUUGCAGUUUUCGUGAAAUGAUGCAGCCGGUCGCAGCAAUAGUUCGUUCUUCAGAAUACAUUCCUAUUCCCCCCAACUCAAUAUGCUGUUAGAAAAGAGCUGAGAGUUGUUCUACAAUGACGAAACCUAGCUGUUUUCGAGAUUGUAAAAGAAGGUAGCUACAGAAAACUUGGAAAAUCUUGUGCCGUUUUGCUUUAGCACGAAGAUACGAGAAGUACUCUAGUAAGAAACUCAGUUUCCUAUUCCGUAUUUCAUGUUAUUUUGUAUUACUAUGUUCUGUACUUUAAGAGAAUUGCUCUUGGGAGUCAUUCUAUAGAUGUAAUGCAUCAAUUUGAUCUAAUAAUGAGUCAUUAACAUUAUGUUCUUGCUAAAUAACAUGAACACGAACAUGAACAGCAGUACAAGCAACCGGCCUCUUAUUCGGAACCUUUUUGUGAAUUCAUUUUAGGAGCAGAAAGAAAACAUUGGAGGCAAUCCAUCUAGGAUAUGCGAUCGGAAUUACUGAGUGCCAAGGUGUAUGAUCUCUUUCUGAGCACCCUCGAUGAACUUCGGAUUCAGUAGGGAACACAGAUCCUGUGUGUAUUAGGACCAGCUACCAUAUCAUGCCAAAGCAGAUCGGAGAGUGCCAUUGUCAACUCUCCCACUUUUCCUAUAAGGGAAAAUAAGCAGACUUUGGUAAGAACAUAUGCACUAAUCCGUCGUUGUUAAGCCAAAAAUCAGGAGGCGGACUAAUCAAGCAAGGCAAUAUUGUUACAUAUGCAAGGAAUAGAUGCACUCAAACGAUAAGUCAUGUUCGAUUCUACUAGAAAAAUAAUGUCUAAAGCAUGUUUGGAUGUAUUUUAAGGCUUUCGAAACAUUAGAUUGUACAUACCAUCUCCGAUGGGAUGUUCGUCCCACAUGAUGAUUGGCAAUAUCGGUAGCGUACUUCCUAUAUACAUAAUUUCUGCUGCACCUUUGGCUUCCAUGACGGUAAGAUUGGCAGUUUUGACACUUUUAAGACGCCCUUGCUUGACCAACUUAGGUGCUAAUUCAAGAAGCCUUUUUGCAGUACAUCCGCUUAGGAUCCUAUCGAAUGAAGGAAAAAUAAGUUCCUUAUCAUUGGUUAUAAAUGCGACAUUCACAUUAGGGCCCUCCGCAAUAAAACCAUCAUCGUCAACCCAAAUCGAAGCAUAUGCACCCUUGUCUUCAGCUUCCAUUAUUGAAAGAACAUUCGGCAAGUAAUUUACAUUCUUCAUUGUAGCAAACUGAGGUGCUUUCAUAGGGAUAGUCGAAGUUAUCACUUUAACCCCGUUUUUGCAUUGCGAGACAACGUCGGCAAUGACUACAGCGUAGAAUGCAGAAGUAGGGCAUUUGGCAGGAGAAAGCAAGAAAUUACCAGGACCGGCACUCAACCAGUACCGUAGAGUUCCUUCCUUGCACUGUGAUGCGGCGGUUAAUUGCACAAGAAUACUACGAAGAGUUGAUCGAGGAAAUGGAAGGGUGAUUCUUGCUUUCGAUGCCGACCGAAGGAAGCGAUCUAAAUGAGCAUCCAGCUCAUAGAGGUAACUACAAAAAUAGGAUAGGUUAUAUUAAGCUUUAUAAACAUAUAUUAACUAAUGCCUCAAAGAGAUAUCAUGAACUCGUGGGUUCAUCUAACAGGUUGGGGAUUCGAAUCUCGACACCUAUAACACCUCUCUCGAUCCCAAACUAUCGGUCUCCUUUGUACCGAAAAUAGGGAAACCAGGGACCUACCCAUCUAGAAUGACUGCUGUAUCGAAUACACCGUGGCCUCGAUGAACCAUGUGAUCAUCUAUGGGAAUUACCAUCAUGGCAGGGUCAAGAAUGAUCCCUCCGAAAACGCUGGAAUACAUAGCCGGAUAUGGUUUCUUCUUCACCGGACUCCACUUCUCGUGCAGCUUUUCG